rnacentral:rRNA from 1 species
GAUGAACGCUGGCGGCGUGCCUAAUACAUGCAAGUCGAGCGAACAGACGAGGAGCUUGCUCCUCUUACGUUAGCGGCGGACGGGUGAGUAACACGUGGAUAACCUACCUAUAAGACUGGGAUAACUUCGGGAAACCGGAGCUAAUACCGGAUAAUAUAUUUAACCGCAUGGUUCAAUAUUGAAAGACGGUUUUGCUGUCACUUAUAGAUGUAUCCGCGCCGCAUUAGCUAGUUGGUAAGGUAACGGCUUACCAAGGCAACGAUGCGUAGCCGACCUGAGAGGGUGAUCGGCCACACUGGAACUGAGACACGGUCAAGACUCCUACGGGAGGCAGAAGUAGGGAAUCUUCCGCAAUGGGCGAAAGCCUGACGGAGAAACGCCGCGUGAGUGAUGAAGGUCUUCGGAUCGUAAAACUCUGUUAUUAGGGAAGAACAAAUGUGUAAGUAACUAUGCACGUAUUGACGGUACCUAAUCAGAAAGCCACGGCUAACUACGUG